rnacentral:rRNA from 1 species
AUUGAACGCUGGCGGCAGGCCUAACACAUGCAAGUCGAGCGGAUGAAGGGAGCUUGCUCCUGGAUUCAGCGGCGGACGGGUGAGUAAUGCCUAGGAAUCUGCCCUGUAGUGGGGGAUAACGUCCGGAAACGGGCGCUAAUACCGCAUACGUCCUGAGGGAGAAAGUGGGGGAUCUUCGGACCUCACGCUAUCAGAUGAGCCUAGGUCGGAUUAGCUAGUUGGUGGGGUAAAGGCCUACCAAGGCGACGAUCCGUAACUGGUCUGAGAGGAUGAUCAGUCACACUGGAACUGAGACACGGUCCAGACUCCUACGGGAGGCAGCAGUGGGGAAUAUUGGACAAUGGGCGAAAGCCUGAUCCAGCCAUGCCGCGUGUGUGAAGAAGGUCUUCGGAUUGUAAAGCACUUUAAGUUGGGAGGAAGGGCAGUAAGUUAAUACCUCGCUGUUUUGACGUUACCAACAGAAUAAGCACCGGCUAACUUCGUG